CCUGGGAUCAUGACCUGAGCCGAAAUUGAGAGUCAGAUGCCCAAUGGACUGAGCCCCCCCAGGGACACAAUCAAGACAGUCCCCCGAGGGGAGUGUUCCCGGCCGGAACGUAAACACACCCUAGCAGGCAUAAGCAGCGGCAAGGCAUCCGGGACCCUCGCCUCUCCCAGCCCAGGACUCAGGCGGGAUGGGGCCGCGAAGCGCGGAGCUCAGCCAGAGGCUACAAGCUCACACUCGCGAGCAGGAGGCAGCCUGCACGUGAUGGACAAAAUUCCCGUCCAAAGACCAAAGCACCUUUGAGCAUUAUCUGCAGUAUUCCGCCAUUUGCACACAUACCGCGGCUGAGGAAGCACUGAACAACCAGAAACAGCUGUUCAUAUAUCUUCCUCCUGUCAACUCGCUCCCAGUCCUUCUCAGAGAGGAGACCAGAGGUCUUCACAGAGGACCCUCGAGGGGACAGAGGGACAGUGUCUGCAAACAAGAAACUGAGGGCUCCUGCUUCCCAGGAGGAUGGAAUGAGAGCCGCCAUUGAAUCUGGAGCUCCAUUAACCAUUGUCUUAUCCAGUGAAGACCAUCCUGAGGGACGGCCAAGAACAUGACUGGGUGGUGAAGGAGGAGGAGGCACGGUACAGGUAUAGACAGCAUUCAAGGGGAGGCCUUAUUGCCUGGAGGCCAGAGCGUUUGUAUUUUUUUUUUUUUCUUACUUCCUGAGAAGGAAACCGACAUGACGGAUCUGAGUCUUGCCUGUAUUCAGCCGUGUCCAUGUCAGUCUCUAAAUGGAUGCCUAAGCACUGAUUUAGUUGAGUCCUAUGUCUUCCCUCUCGUCUCCUCAAAUCCUGUGCUGUCGGCCGUGUGUGCCCUCCGGGGCCUCCACCCCAUGUGCCCACAGCCCAAAUCUGUUCUCCAGGAUCGCCACGCCAUGUCCUCCUCUGUGUAUUUACAACCCCUGUGCCGGUGACCCAUGUCUGUCAUCGUGUUUUUCUAAUCCCUCUGCCAGCAGUUCUUGACAGUCUCAAAAGUCUGCGUUCCCUGUGCCUGCACCCUCUGCCAGCCCACGUGAUGCUUCAUCCCUUUUCACAGUCCCAUCAUGGAACUCAUUUCACCGUCUCUUCAUCCCCACGGCCCAGGACAGUUCAUGUGUUUCUCCUGGCAGGAGCUGAGCUGACCUUGGGGAGAGACAUCUGAGUUGCCAGGUGUCAGAGUAGCAGACAAAGCAUCAAGUCAAAAAUGAAAGAGUUAAGCCUAUAAUGACUUAUUGUGGUGGCACAAGCAAGAGCCUUAGCCGCAGAAGUUCUGACUCCCCCACCCCCCACCCCGUUCUAUUCCUCAUCACCUGGGAUGUUGUACAGAUCACGGAUCGGGUGAACACAAAUGUGGGCUUGGUCUCACUGUUGAGGAAACCCCAAACAAAAGGUGGGGCAUUUUCACAGACCCUUGGGCUGGAGGGAGAGUGACAAGUGCUAGGGGCAGGAAAGCACUGGGCACUGUGUCAGAGUUGGACAAGCGUUUUCAGGGUUUUCCCGUCUUCUCCCCCGGGGAGGGGAUCUCAGCAGAAUCAACUGGAGAGGAGCUCAUCCCCAGACGCAGGUGAAGAGAAGCAUAUGUGUUGUAGGAGAUGUUGUCCUUCCCUGAGGUUUCUUAUGCUGAAAUCCAAGCACUUGCCAAGCACCAGAUUCCUGAGUGGCACCAUCAUUUAGUUAUGAGUGGAGAAAUGGGAUCACACAAAGAACUUUCGGAGAAUUGGUCCACAGUGACCACCCGCCAUCUGCCCCACCUCCUUGGAGGUUCACGUCAGCCUUCCCUCGGAUACGGAUUUCUGGGUUUCCUGAGUCUAAUGAAAAAGGAGAGUCAUUCACACAGACACAGGACUCCUUCAUGUGCCUUCUUCUCCCAGCAGGUGUGAGGGGGAGUCAUAACCACCAGGUCAAACAGAGUCCUCACCCUGUGUGACCUCUCCUUCCUGCCUGUCCUGCACACUCUCCCGAGGACCCAACCCCAGGAGGGCAUCCUCAGGCAAGGCAAGUGAGGUGGUCUUGAUCGACUCAUUGGGGAGACUUCCAUGAAGCCUGUCACAAUGUGUUCCGGAAGCAAAGUCACACAAAGUCCUAACCCCAACGGACACCAGAAUCGAUGCUAUGGCAACACCCUCUGUGGCACACAGAGUUGCAUGUGGAAAAGGAAGUAUGCUUGUCUCUCAAAAAUAUGAAUUUCUGGG